ensembl:lncRNA
UUUCUUUCAGUGCAUAAGUUGGUAUUUCAGCUUAUCGAACCAGUGUAGGUCUGGGAUCAAGGCAAGGUGCUUUCAUUAAUUUUCAACACCAGUUUCCUGGCUGUGAAGCAUUGUUUGCCCAGAGGACUCACCUGCUCGUGGUGCUGGGGGCUGUCACCUGUUCUGCUGACUGUUCCACUUUCUCCCUUGGGUUAGUGCCCAGGUUUUCAUGUUAACCCAUCUCCGUUUCCAGAUGCUCUGGGUUUGUGGCAGUCUGGCUGAAGCUCAGAACAAAACUCAAGGGAGUCCAGCAUUGCAUGCGGAGUUUCUGCUGCUGUGUUAAUUGAAAGAGAGAGAAGGCAGAGGAAUUACACUGUGUUUCUCAAAGCACAGGCAGCGUACUUACAGAUGAGCUUAUUAUGAGAAGAAGCCGCAUACAGACAGGAUUCUGCUACCUGUGGCAGAAAAAAGGUUUGAUCUGCGCAGGACCUCUCCAGACCCCUUCACCCUCACUUGGGAGGAAAAAUCGAACAGCAAGAAGGACAUGCUCAGAGGAGUUGGAUUACAGCUUACACGUGUAUUCGAACCCAGAGUUACACAACUGCAUGAAGAGCUGUGUGCAGAAAUGCUUUCUGAUUUCUGCUUACAACAGCCUAGAGUUUGUAAGAGAUUUGGAGGGACAUAACAUUUAUUUCCUACUUCCCUGAGCUUCAGUCCAGGCCUUGGAAAAACCCAUCUGACAGAAUUACUGCAUGGCAGCGUGUCAGCCUCCAAAAUCCUCAAAAAGCCCAUGAAAAGAACUGCUGUAUUUCCUUUGGAAAAACAGGAUGGCAGCCACGGAAUGCCUUUAAUUUAAAGGAAAUAGUUGCAUCAUCUAUGGGAACAUCCCAGUAACAAGAAAGAGACCCGUGGGGAGGGUAAACUUAGGAAGAAAGCAAGUGGUGGGCAAUCAUACAGACACCUUCAUCUUCUCCAGUUCCAUCCUCUCUGCUGCCACCGGCAGACAUGAACAGAAACAGGAGAUCAGUUGUCCUGUGGCUGGACAUUGCAUUGUUUGCCAUGUGUACGCACUGAAGAGAAAACUCUCCCAUGGCGUAAACAUCUUCACGUCCCAUAACGAAAGAAAUCAGCCCACCUGUCAGUGCUCAUCUUGCUUCAAGAACCGGCUUUCUAUGUUAUGUUGUCCUGCCAUGUGGUAGGCAAAGGUGAGGAAGGGUUGCACCGCAACGCCGCUCAUUCACAGAGGAAUCCGUUCUGCAAAAAUUGGAGAGAUUCUAAAAUCUAUUUCUUAAUAUCUAUAAGCUUCAGGAGCACAACAUUAACAUUUCUCCUCCUCCUCCACUGUGGCACAGGCUGAGAGGAUGCUGAAGUACAGGUGCCUGUCACCUGCCUGAGGGCGGCACACAGCCAGUAGCCGAAGCACAGCAAUCUCAGCAGCUGUAAACCGAUCUCUUCAGCCCAAGUUCAUUUACUUGGCUCCAAUGUGUAGACUGCCUUCAUACACGUUUAGCAGUGAGAUUUGCAAAACUGAGAACUGUGCUAUAAAAUACAGCUUUCUAGCGUGGUAUCAAAACCCGAUGAUGAAUUUGACACGCUGGGAGGCAGAGGUUUGGGCCGGAGGAAAGAUGACUUAGAACUAAGGAAAGCGAAAUGCUGAAGGGAACUUGGCAUAGUAAAACUGCUGUAGGCAGGGGAAAAUUAUGACUUUACUGAAGAAGAGAAAAAAAAGUUUUACUACUGGCUUCUGACCUUAUUGGCUUCUCAAAUGUAUACAGGGAAUGGAGAAUAAUUACCAAACAAUUUGUAGUGAGAAUUGGCUGCUCCCUGUCGUGCUAGAUGCACGUGCUGCCUUUGCUGCAGCAUCCUCCGCCAGCGCUUCCCUCUCCUUGCGCUGCCGCUCACCAUGCAGAGCCCCAGCUGGCGGCUGCCAGCAGCUCUGGAAAUGCAGGGCCUUGGGCUGCAGGCUGGAAAUUCUUGUUUCCAGGAGCAGCUUAAGGCCUGUGGAAAACUCCCACUGACUUUGCUGGGAUUAUCCAUCUGCGGAAAGUUAUUUGGAGGGAAGUGCAUUCCUUUGUAGAAUGGCUGGCAACAGGUCCGGGCAGUGCUUCGGUCUCAGUUCUGGUGUAUUGUUUUUGUUGGGCUGCAUUCAUUCUGUGCCUUGCACAAUGGGGCUGUGCUCCAUCACUAGAGCUCGCACUUUCCAUUUUAGUCUAAUAAAAGUAGGAUUAAAAAAAGAAAGCCCAACUUGAAUGCAUAAAUGUUUUCAGAUAGCGGACCCCUCGGGCUCUGCCAUGUUUGUCUUUGAGCACUCUCAUAGAGUUUAGAGCACAGCUCUGCCUGAGGAGCGUAGAUUCAGAGUGACCCAUCUGUUGUCAGGGCUUCUGGGGACUCAGGUGAGGAAAAUUGCAGUGUAAAUAGGAAAUGAGACCAGGGACAAUGUUCUGCCUGUGUUUUCUGAGCGUUACUGUUCCUUACACUCUUUUCAUAUUUUUACAUUUCUCUUUAUAGUGGUUUUAUGAUCUCAUUCCUCCAUGUAAUUUCAAAAGUACUCCAAUAUCUAAUUGGAAGGUUGAGGAGAAAAGUCCCCAGGCUAGCUUGUUUAAGAAGAAUGUUAUCUGCUGUCUGCUCAACUUACCUUCUGUGAAGCUCCAAGGCAAAGAAUCCUAUGCUGCAUUUAAACUUAAGAGUUUGCUAGUAAAAAUACCCUUCUUCCUGAGGUUAUUUAAAAUGAGAGCCUGCAUUUCUCACAUCCCACUGUUGUCUGAAAUACAAAAUCCCAUCCUAUAUUGCUAUGCCAGAAAAUGUUAGCGGAUAAAGUGCCGAGCAGGUCACAGUAUUUCUAAUUCAGAUUAAUGACCCCAUUCAGCUUGUCUCCUUAGCAGGAAAUUAGAAAGUGCUGGGAAGGAGAAAAUAGUGAUUCAUAAUGCGUGACUCUUUGUAUUGGCAGUUGCACUCAUUAAACACUAAGAUACUGUUUUGAUAUAAAAUAAUUGAGUCUGACUUAUUUAUGGGAUAUGGCUGUCUCAGAUUGCAGAGAUUCCCUGGAAGGACUGCUGGCUCUGUGCCUCAGUGGAGGAAAAAGAGGUGACUGAUGCCCAUUGGCAACCCCUGGCCAGGUGAAGCACAAAAGAAGUGCACAGAAAAUGACCACUGCUGCUCUGCUUAGAGAGGGGAAAACACCUUCUUCAGGAAGGUUUGGAGCAGACAGGGACAAAGUGAUGGUAAACCUCCUGGGAAAGCAGCUUGCACUGACUGCAUAAUUUGAUAACUGCAGUUACAAGAGGAUGACUCCUCACAUCAGCACGGCUCCUGGCCUCUCUGGACUUGAUGUGGGUACAACAGUGGUCAGCCAUGGUCUGUGUGCAUCCUUCAGGCUGAGCCCAGGAUACAGCUCUACACCCCUCUCUGCUCCCCAGCCACAGUCUCCCCUCACCAGGGGGUUCCAGCCUUCCUCUGGCCUCAUGCAUGUGCACCAUCACUUGGUAAUGCUGAAGAUGCCCCAUCUCUGGAUGCAUUCAAGGCUGGAUGUGGCUCUAGGCAGCCUGGUCGGGUGGUUGGCGACCCUGCACAUAGCAGGAGGGUUGAAACUGGAUGAUCACUGUAGUCCUUUUCAACUCAGGCCAUCCUAUGAUUCUAUGAUUUUGGCUGGAGAAAGUGUGCUGGUUCCAGAGCAAUUACACUGAAGUUUGUAUAGAAAUGUGGGAAAGUUCUCUCUUUGUCAGAGUUUUUGACAAAUAAACUUACUUCAAUGCCCACUUUUAGUUUUUUUGGGUUUUGAUUCCAUUUGUUUCAGGCAGCAAUUAAGAAAGUAAGAUUUGAUUCUUUAUUCAAGCGUGUAACCUACCCCUGCAGUGAGAGCUCUGCGCUGGGCUAGGAAGAGAGCAGAGAUUUCUACUGGUAGGUGAAGUUCUCACUCAUCCCCAGGAAUGCAGAAAUGAUCCUGAGAAGGAAGGACCAAAUCCUUAGUUCCCUGGGGAAUGCUGCAGCUCCCUGCUCUUAGGGUUUUGCUCCUGCAUUUGAGUUCUUUUUUCCUACCCAGCGGCACUGCUCCAGCUCCUUGAUUGGUGUGAAAGAUGGCAAGAAGGAUAAAUGCUGGUUGCAAGAUCUCUGAUGUGUUCCACAGAUCCAUAUGGCUGUCCAUACCUCGAGCUGUGGUGAAAAGGGUUGUCGGUACUGUUCUGUGAGGAGCUCAGGUUGGUUUGUGCCUGUUCAUUUGGAAAUAAAUAUGCAGUGGGCUGAGUUCAGAUGGGCAGAAAAAGGACUGUGGGUCAAAGGGGACCAGAGGGUGUGAAAUGUCAGCAUAUGGGAUGCAAGGUGUGCCAAAGGCUAGGGUGUGAAUCACUUUGGAUUUUCAGAUUUGUAUCAGCAUUGUGCCAGACUUCCAGCAUUUAUAUUAGUCACCUACAAUCUGCUGAAAUCCCGUAUUUGGUGUCUUUAAAAAGAUGUAUGUCUUUAUUUGCUCUGUAUUUGGCUUGUGAUCUUUAAGAGCUGCAGUUACUGGAUGCUAAGAGGUGGCCCUGUUCACAGCCUCAUGCUGCCUUGAUUGAAACGCUGAGGUCAAAGGCCAGCAGGAGCCAAAGGUCUCUGCAAGCUAACCAUAUGCACAGGCUCGCCAAGCUCUUCUCCCUCUGUGUCAUGAAGACAAAUGGCAUUUUUAAGAAUUCUCCCAAUGAACUAGCAUUCAUUUUCUGGUGUCUCUUCCUUCUUUAUUGCUUCCUAAUGAGCUUCAUUCCCAUCACCUCUAGCCUCCUGCUCUUGAGUCUGCAUUUACACUGAUGCACAGAAGAGCAGCAAAUUGAACAAAUUAAUUAAUUAAGCUGGCCCGUCUAAUGAAAGGCACCCUGAUGACUCCUGGGUUUUCCCCUCUUGCUUUUUAAAGAAAUCUACUCUAUAUCUUUAAUGGCCACAGUUGCUGGGCUUUUUCUGUCCAUAGGCUCUGCAAGAACACCAAAUUCUUUUUCUGUGGUGUUUGGGGUUUAACUGAGAACAUUUCUCUCUCUGUGUACAUCUUUACACAUACACACAUGUAUAAAUGUGCACACAGGUAUAUUUUUAUUCUUUAUUUCUGUAUUUAUGGCCCCUACUUUACUUGCUUGUUUAUUAUUUUAGCAGUGGAAUUUUCAUGAAAGUACUAUUCAGGAGCUAUUUGGAGUGACAGCUAUAACUAAAGAGGGAAUCCGUGCUGUUACAGCCCACAGAGCUUCCUCUCUGCCUGGUCUGGCUGGGCUCUAUUUGUGCUCCCGUUCGACCCAUACUGCUUUGUUUGCAGUCUGCACUCCCUGGGCCAGACCAGCUGAUUCAAAACCAAGCGUUACCUACACAUCCCCUUAUUUCCACUUAUUUCAAUGCAGUGUUGCUAAGCAGAAGAUCUGGCCCCAUGCAUUUGUGCUCCUCAUUACCAGAGCUUUAUGCUUUACCUCAGGUGAGGAUGUUGACUUUGGUGCUGCAAGUUGCCUAUGUGUAAAAUGCAUCCAGCACCUUCGUGUGUAAAUUACUGUCUUUACGUUGCUUUAAGAGACUCUCAGUGUGUGAAAGUACAUGAUGAAAACAGUGAAUAGGCACUGGAAUGGGCUGCCUGGAGAGGUGGUGGAGUCAGCAACCCUGGGGAUGUUCAAGGAAUGUUUGGACUGUUGUGCUGAGGGAUGUGGUUUAAUGAGAACUACUGCUGAUGGGUGAAUGGUUGGACUGGGUGAUCCUGUGGAUCUUCUCCAACCUUGGUGAUCCUAUGACUCAAUGAUUCUAUGAACUUGCAAAGGUUAAGUGUUAAUCUAUGAAAGGGCCGUUCCAGUUCUGACCAUUCCUUUGUAUUACCACUGUCUGUAAGCAUGCACUGCGUGGCGGUGGAGCCAUUGGUGAGAUGGAGCUGUUAACCAGGUAUUACCAUCAGGCCAACCAAGUUUACCCUUGAAGAAGAAAAAUCACAACAGCAACGCUUUUGUUUUGUAUCACUAGUGCUUUUCCUUCCUCCUAACACGUGCCCUUUGCUGCAUCUCUCUGCUUUCUUAGGAGGGUUUUAAGGCUGGUUACAGAUGAAUGGGACUAAUGGCCUCCACCUGAUUUUUACAAGAUAGCUGUUUAAUCCAACAUUUCUAAGUGCUGUUUCCGAACACAGUACUACUGUUACCAGAUGAAAGAGCUAUGGAUUCUUUCCAAGGAAUAUGUGAAUAAUUUUAAAUUGCUCUGCUGAAAGUACUUUUACUGAGUGCCUUUUCCCCUUCCUGUCUGCGAUGCAUUUUCACUUUGAAGUAAUAAAUACAUAUAGUCUCUUGGUGUCUACGUACUUACCCUGCCCAUUCUCUUCCUUUUUAUUCCUCAGCUCAUCACCUCAUUAUACCUGAAAAACAGUGAAGUGAAGGCUAUAUGAAACACGGGGAUAUAAUUCUGUACCCGUAAGAGGUACUAUCUGAAACUUCAGUAGAGGUUAAUAGAAGAUCUGAAAUGUGGUAUACAGAAUUGCUAGUGGGAAUGUGAACCUGAUCCAGCUUUCAGUGUUGGUACCCUGCUAUCUUUAUUAGAAUUGUCAUAGAAUCACAGAAUUGUAGGGGUUGAUAGGGACCUCCAGAGAUCAUGGAAUGAGAAGUAUCAAUUUAGAACUCAUCCUUCUGCACCUCUUUAAUUCACCUCUUUAAUUCACAUAGGAAUCCAAAAGGAACAGUACAAGAUUUUGUUUCUGCUUUUUUCAUCACACAGUUUAUCCUGCAGUACUUCGCCAUCCUGCAACUAGAAAGCCUGGAGAUGGAUGACAAAUACACAGCUAUGGAAUCCUUAUGCACUUCAUAGAGUCCAGGUGAUGGGUUUACUUCAAUCCCUGGGUGUGAAUUUGUUAGCGCAAACUCUGAAGAAGUGAAGGGUAUCCAGAAUAAAGCAAAAGCCACCAAAUGGGAGAGAAAGUUUCACCAAAAUUCCUUUAAUGACAUCCUCUUUCUAUUCUUGUGUUUGGUUACGUGCUCUUGCUUCCUUAUGUGUUCCUUCUACCUCGCUGAUAGAAAGGACACAAAUGGCUCUCUGUGCAAGAAUUAGAGUGCAAGGAAGUGCUGCUGAAGACAUAGGCUGAAUCUGUGCUCCUAACAAUGUCAGCCUUUGGAAGUAAGACUUGCUACUUGAAAAGCUGCCUAUUGGCAUUUUUGUUUUUCCUUUUAAUUAGAGAUGUCAGAAAUACACGACCUACACUGAGAAGAGCAGCAAGGGUGAUGUAGCCUAUAGGUGAGGUUUUGAACAGUUUCAUUGGUCCUUCUGUGGUCAGAUUCACUGGCUCCAGCUUUCAUAGUUUCAGGACCUUUCUCUCUGAUGGAAUUUCCUGUAGUUGAGGCAGGAAGAAAUGAGAUUAUUUUGGAGGGCCAAAGCUUUUUUGUGAACAGUGAGGAUGUGCACACCUCAUAUUAUUGUCUCUGCAGAGGAGGAGGGCUAACCUGGACUGGUACAAUUGUACAGUUUAAUCACAGAACCACACCAUAAAAUAUAUAUUAAAAUGGCCUUUUUUUUUUUUUCCCUUUCUUCUAUUUUUUUUCCCUUCUGCAAUACCCCUGAACCAUUUUCUGUGAGCUAGAGUUCUUGCAAAUAUUUCCCUGCUUUAAGAUGAUCCAGAAGCAUCUCUAAGACUUUGACAGAGCUGUUGCCUGUUCUCCUUAAUGGCUUGAAAUUUUGUCAGAAGAAGGAAGAGCACGGGGGUACCACCAAGCAAGCCUGCUUAUGUUGCCCACCAGCAGGCCUCAGCUCUGCUGUUUGGGUAACACUGUUGAGAAUUCUACCAACAAUUUUCACAUAACUCAAAAAACAGCACUAGGAUUUGUUAUAGGAAGCACCUGAGCAUCUCCUGAGACCAAGGCUACCUCCUGAAAGGAAUGGAGGUGCAAUAACUUGUUCUAAGCCAUGCAGCAGAAAUAACGGGCCUGGGUAUGACCCUAGGCCAGUGUCUUCAUUUCUGGCUCAUUCAGCCUCUUGGUGAUGUGAUUUCUUCACAACACCUUCAGGUCUAGAAAUAAGGGUACAAGACCACAGGGAGAGGCAUAAAUGCAACAAAACCUGCUCAAUUUGGUUUCCACACACCUGUCAUGCUCCUUAGGAGAUGCAGUUGCCUUGCUUGUGCCUUGGAAUGUUUAGCAAGAGAUCUGUGGGUAACAUUACAGCUUCAUAGAGAGUAAUCCAAUUCUUUUAGUCUGAAAUAUCUCUUCACGUGUUUAGGAAGAAGCCAAAUGAGGGAGAAAACAAGAUGUCCAAAGGAACAUAAAAUGUAUAUUUGCUCUGUCAGUUUUCUUCAAGAGAAGAAGCUAUGAGAACUACACGCUCUGCGUGUUUGACAUUAGUUCACUUCACGGUACUGCAGAGUAUGUAUUUGUAGGGCUAUAUUCACACAAAAUCUGCUUCACACAGACUGCUGAUUUAGAUGUCUAAUUUAGGAGCACAGGCUCUCUCUGUAGUCACCAGAGCCUAAAUUAACGUCUUGGAAUUACCCCUGAAAGGACUCACCUUUCUCUAUUGAGUACAGAGCGACCUGAGGCUCCUAAUUCAGGCACACAGGUCCCAUGUCAGGGAAGGCCCAGUGUGUUAGCCGUGUACAAACUGUGCCCUGUUCAAACCCUGCAUGCUUCUCAUUUGCUGAGCAGGGCAGGAGAGACCUCGUAGCACAGACCUUGCUGUGAACCUGUAUUGCUGAGCAAGGAGGAGAGGGUCUUUGCCAAGCGUUGCCAGAUCACAGCCUUGUCAGGGCAAGGGACAGCUUUGGUCAGCCUAGAAGUCAGGAAGCUUUCACAGGAGCAAACCUCCUCACUGAGAGUACAUUGCUAGAGUGCUCUGGGGUGACUGGCAGAGAGCAGAGCAGAGCUUGGAGAGAGAGGUGUACACCCUUGCUGGACGUGCCCUGCUCCAGAGGGUCAGCAUGGCUGUGGCACACCUUCUCACCUCUCCUUGAGGGUGAGGGAAGGAGUGGAGACGAUUAACUCAGGGGCUGAAGGCUCUUGCAAACCCCUGGCUUCUACAUCCACCUCUGCCCUUCUCUUCCUGUCACCCUGCACAAGUCGCCAGGCCCUUGCUCAGCCUCCACCUCCUGCGAGGAGAAUGGCUUUAUUUACAGGAGGUGAUGUCACAGCAGCGUUGUGAGGGAUGUGACUCAAUGUUUGUAUAAUGCUUUGAAGACGAAGAGUGCUAAGUAUUGUUAUUCGAGAUGGCAACAAAAUAAACCAAAAUGUGUUCGCUGCGACUAUUCAAGCCAAAUCCAUUUUCAGUUAAUCUUCCAAGCAGGAACUCAAAAUCAAAGCGAAAAGCCUUGCCAACUGGAGCUUUACAGCUUGAUGGGAAAGUACGAAAGAGAAUUAAUUGGGUUUUAAAUAGUUGUAACUGUAUUGUGAUGCAGCACGGUCUGGAGCGCUCGGCUGCUGCUGGUUGCCAACUGGUUUGGAGCUGGGAUUGCUCAAGGGAAUCUUUUUUGCAGGAAAGAAAAAUAGUUGGGCCAUCAUGCACAGUGUGCUCUAUAGACUGACAGGAACUGCCUCUGUGCUCUCUAUGAAAACAUGAGCUUUUUCCACUUCGUGCUGCUUUUUUUUUCUUUUUUCACAGCGAUGCAAAAACAGUGGAAGAUGUGGAAAGCAACAGAAUUGCCCAACACAGCACAGAGCACCUCGUGGGGAUCGUUUCCCAUCCCAGAAAGGAGGGACAGCAAAAUCUGAUGGCAAAGCCUGUUACAAAUACCUGUUCAAAGCAAGUUGUCCAUCACACAGGCAUACCAGCACACUCGCUUCCUGGGAGCGUUGCUAAAUGCAGAUCACUUGCAGAUGCCAUCCGAGCCCUGUACUGAAAUUAGCAAAGUUCCACGACCGUAAACUGGCAGAGACUUGCUUCUUCUAAGGAAAAGUCUGUGUGCAUUGGCUUCAUAUUUUUCACCUGACGUUCAAAGGGGCUUGAAUGUGGCUCUCAGCCUCUUGCGUUCGCUGGGGUUUGUCAAUGUGAAGUGCCCUUAUGAGUGGGCUAUUUACUGCUUUCCCACUCUCAGUGAACGCAGUGUUUUGUAGCUAAGCCACGCUGUUUGGGUUUUCCUGCUCUGUCCUCAAAUCCCGUUUUUUUGUUUUCUUAAUGCUUUUGAAGUUACUUGGUCCUAAAAUAUGGCUCUCAGUAAACAUUUCAGCACUUCAAUUUGGCUUAAAUUUUACACUUUAAUAUUCAAGUUCCAAAACAGUUUUAUGAGCAAAUAAAAAAGAUGAUGGCUCUGGAAGCAUUUAUUUUCAAUAUCUUUUACUUCUGCUAAGCCAUAUACUCAAGAAGCUGCCUUAUAAACAACUUUAUAUUGCACUCUAUUGCCAAUCAUUGGAAAAACAUGCCGUAAUGGGUUGCAAAUGGCACAAUGUUAUGCAGCCAGGAUGAACGAGGUCAUUGGAAAGAUAUCGUAUUGAUAAAAGCAGGCAUGGAGAAAAUAACUUUAAAUCUGAAGUCUCCAUAUCACGAGCAAUAGAACAAAGGAAAAAUUACAGGUAUUUUUUUCUACUCAGAAACAGCCUGAGCCAACAGCACUUUGCUUGCUGAAAGGUUUUCUCUCUCAUAAUCCAAGCCAAAUGUGUAUAUUUCCUUUACAGCCAUGUUUGCUGUUGUUUCUUUGCAUAAAUCAUUUUUCUCACCUCUAGAAAGCAGAUUCUCUCUGAGAACCCAUUAAUUAUCUGUCAGAGGAAAGCAACGAUCGUACAUUCACAAACACUGAGCGGACAGAGUGGUCCUGAAACACCCACAGCAAACAUUCAUUACUUCAGGUCUGGCAACGUUAAAAAUGCAGCACAGCACUGAUAGAUUUCCCCCCCCCCUUUUUGGAGAAAAAAACACCAUGUAAUCAGUCAGGUGCUUAUGCUUUACUGUCAAGUGUAAAAGCAACAUAGCCAUUUGAAAUCACGUCAUGGAAGCCCUGUGCCCAGCAAGCACUGGACUAGCUUUUCAAUUUCGGCUCCCUGAUGUGUCUGACACUGAGCACAGACUGCUUGUCCCAGAGGGCUGAUCUUGCAGGCUGCUCGUGCGCUGAACUUCCUUGCUUCGGUGCAGAACCCAUUGGAGCCCACUUUGCAGGAGGGCAUUUGUAUGCUCAGAGUGCUGAGAGGCCUUCAGAGACGGGGCGGAAGAUGAGAGGGGCAAUGGCUGCAGUCUUGCUGGGGUGGAUCCAUUGCAUUCUGCCUUUGUUCUUCUUUCUCUGCUGUGUUGAUAUAUGUAUGUGUAUGCAUAUCCAUCCUCUUGCAAAGACAUACCAACACUACCUUGGCUUUAUGGCCACCAUUCAAAACUGACCAGAGCCCCACGUGUCUCCAGACUGGCUGGAGCUCACUGGCAGCAGUAGCUACAGCCACUGGGCAGAGAGCAGGGCACUCUGGGGCUGAGGGCUAUUUAGAACACGCUCUCCUGCCUGUCCUGUGAGUGCACAGAGCACACAAGGCGGCAGGCUCCUUCGUAGCACACUCAGGCUGGGUGGCAAAACAAAAAAUCACAGACUCAGAAAAACACGCACAUCUUUUCCAAUUAUUCUCUUGGCAAUCUUGACUUUUCAAGUGCCUUCUGGAACACAUCCAGCAGCUGAGGAGACCUGGUCCCACAUGGGGCAGCUUCUGGCGCCCAUUGAACGGAGGCUCACCCCAUAAAGCUCCACCUGAAAAGUUCUGUCAGAAAACAAAGCGCCAUUAACCGGGGCACAUAUGUGACUCCUUUGUGUCCGCAUUGGAGGUGUCAGCUGUGUGACGGUCGCACAGUUUAAUUAAGGCAAGGCACACUGAUCUGUGCAGUUUUAUUUCAGCUUGUUCUUCCUUGCAAACCUAACCGACUUUGCCCCGCAAGCCUGAAGAAGCCGGUAGUGUUCCUGCCAGUGGCCGUUGGCAGAGAUCCCUGUGUGGAUGCUGUGGGUUUACAGAACGAACUGUCCGGUCCUACAGAAAUCUGGCUUCUGUCUGCAGCGAUUCGAGGGGCAUUCUGCUGUGGCUGCCUGCCUUUAGAAAAGGCAGUGACUGCGACAGAAGAACCUCAUUUUAGUGCACGAUGGAGGGGAUACGACGGCUGUAACGUACAAUUCUGUCUUUUGCGAUGCUUAUUUUACCAGCUUAGGAACUGUCUGUCACCACAGCCACGGCCAGGCCCUACAGGCCGCUGUGCCGGGCGCUGUCCCGGGCCCGCUCCGGCCGCGCUCCGCCUGUGCGCCGGCGCCACCUGCUGGCCGAGCAGCGGCAGCGCCGCCUCUCCCUUUUGCACCGCCCGCGCCCGCGGAGGUCUUCAGUGACUCGGAGUCACGUUCUAACAACGCCAAGGAACGGCCGAGGUUGGUUUGUUCGUUUGUUUUUAAACACGGGUUCGCUAAGAAAGUGCGCCUCUAAACUCACCGAGCUGACUGAGGUCGCUCCACUCUUGCGUGCUUCUCAUGCAGUACCUCUCACGGACAGGCGAGGCUGCUGUGCAAUUGCUUCUCUCGUUUCUGAGGAGCGGUAAGAAGGGGACCGUGCCGUCGUUGCUAAGGUUCUCCUACGGCCUCCCGCUCUGCUGUCCCACUGCGUGGGAAUGCGGCCUUCCUCCUCAGCCGGGUUCGGGGUAGGACAGCUCCAUACCUCUGCAGCACGCAAACUGAAGCUUCCUCACUUCCCUCUGCUUGCAGAGGCUGCUGAGGGCUCUGCUAGGGAAGGGCCCAACGGGGAACGGUGUCUACUCCUGUUAACACCAGCAGCGGGCACCACGUGUUGGUCAGCAUUUGCCUCAAGGAAAACCACCAUCCCCAGACAGAACUGUUCUGUACCUUUAUAAUCCCAAAAGAAAACUGAGUCGUUCAGCGCAAUCUGUUGUCCUGGGAAAAAAGCAUCUAUUUACAGCAGACCUAAACGUUUUGGGGUUUCUUUUUUUUCUUUCUUUUUUUUUUUUCUCCGAGGGAAUGUAUUGAAUAAACCAUAUUAUUCUCCAGAUAAUGGACGAAAAUGUUCCUUAUUAUGAAGACUUCAUGCUCUUUCAUAAUCAUCAAUAAUUCCAGGGGCGUGUGGGGGGGGAGAGCAGGAGGAUAGAACUGAUAAAUGGAAAAGUGAAAGGGGAGAGGAAUGAGGCUGUAAUUUCAUGUGAAAUAUGUCUCUGUGUGAUGCCCCUUUCCUUCAGAACUGUUCAACA